GACGAACGCUGGCGGCGUGCUUAACACAUGCAAGUCGAACGGAAAGGCCCUGCUUUUGUGGGGUGCUCGAGUGGCGAACGGGUGAGUAACACGUGAGUAACCUGCCCUUGACUUUGGGAUAACUUCAGGAAACUGGGGCUAAUACCGGAUAUGAGCUCCUGCUGCAUGGUGGGGGUUGGAAAGUUUCGGCGGUUGGGGAUGGACUCGCGGCUUAUCAGCUUGUUGGUGGGGUAGUGGCUUACCAAGGCUUUGACGGGUAGCCGGCCUGAGAGGGUGACCGGCCACAUUGGGACUGAGAUACGGCCCAGACGCCUACGGGAGGCAGCAGUGGGGAAUAUUGCACAAUGGGCGGAAGCCUGAUGCAGAAACGCCGCGUGCGGGAUGACGGCCUUCGGGUUGUAAACCGCUUUCGCAUGUGACGAAGCGUGCGUGACGGUAAUGGGUAAAGAAGCACCGGCUAACUACGUG
rnacentral:rRNA from 1 species